UACGAAGGGGGCUAGCGUUGUUCGGAAUCACUGGGCGUAAAGCGCACGUAGGCGGAUGUGCCAGUCAGGGGUGAAAUCCCGGAGCUCAACUUCGGAACUGCCUCUGAUACAGCACGUCUUGAGUCCGGAAGAGGUGGGUGGAAUUCCUAGUGUAGAGGGUGAAAAUUCGUAGAUAUUCGCAAGAACACCAGUGGCGAAGGCGGCUCACUGGCCCGAUACUGACGCUGAGGCACGAAAAGCGUGGGGGAGCAAACAGGAUUAGAAAACCCCCA
rnacentral:rRNA from 1 species